GUUUAAUAAAUACCAUUUUAAAUAUAUACUAAAAUUGGAAGGAUACAGAGAUUAGCAUGGCCCAUGCGCAAGGAUGACACGCAAAUCUGUGAAGCAUUCUGUAUAUAU
rfam:Ornithorhynchus anatinus chromosome 1, whole genome shotgun sequence.